rnacentral:tRNA from 1 species
UAGAAAGUGGUGUAGUGGAAGCACAAAGGGUUUUGAUCUCUUAAGCAGGGGUUCAACACCCCUCUUUCUAA